AUCCAGCUGGCAAGUCCCAAAUAGGACGAAAUGCGCGUCCUGGAU
rnacentral:hammerhead_ribozyme from 1 species